rnacentral:tRNA from 4 species
GCUGGCGUAGCUCAACGGUAGAGCAGCCGCCUUGUAAGCGGCAGGUUGUCGGUUCGAAUCCGUCCGCCAGCUCCG